CCACCGAAGUUAAGCAACGCUGAGCCCGGUCAGUACCUAGAUGGGUGUCCGUUUGGGAAUACCAGGUGCUGUAAA